AUCUUUGUAACUAAUCUAUUUCAAGUCCAUUAACUAACUAUCUAUAAUCUCUAAAAAUAAUAACUUUUUUAUCCAUAAAUUGUUUUCUUCUUGCGAUUACUCUUUCUUCUCAGUUUUUCAUAAAUUAUUUUUUUUCUUAUGCAAUAUCCUUUGGUUUGGUAUCUUUUGUUUGUUUGUUUGUAAUGAAUGAGUCUAAUGACUAUUCUUAAUUUCUUAGGAUUCAUCAGAAGAAGAUUAAGCACACCUAUGCCAAAAAUCGGGGCAAGAUUGAAGGAAUAUAGGAAACUCAUGUUAUGUUUGAUUCGAAACAUUUCCACGAAGCCUAGAGUGGACAUGAAGAAGGAGUAUAUAAUUUAGCAUUUCUCGAAAUGGAAUAAUAUUUUUGGUAUUGUUAAGUAGCCAUUUUUUUUUCUAACUAUGUUUUUCCUUUCGGUAAAAAAAGAAUUUAUCUUCUUCUGAUUCAUUUUUCUUGAUUUUCA
rnacentral:lncRNA from 1 species